UAGGCUUUGAUCCUGGCUCAGGAUGAACGCUAGCGGCGUGCCUAAUGCAUGCAAGUCGAACGGGAUCCCUGGAUUCGUCUAGGGUGAGAGUGGCGAACGGGUGAGUAACACGUUGGUGACCUGCCUUAGAGAGGGGGAUAACUAUUGGAAACGAUGGCUAAUACCCCGGAUGUCAAGGUCUUUAGAAAACCUUGACUAAAGCUCCGGCGCUCUAAGAGGGGCCUGCGGCCCAUCAGCUAGUUGGUAGGGUAAUGGCCUACCAAGGCGAAGACGGGUAGGGGGCGUGAGAGCGUGACCCCCCACACUGGUACUGAGACACGGACCAGAUACCUGCGGGUAGCAGCAGCAAGGAAUAUUGCGCAAUCGACGAAAGUCGGACGCAGCAACGCCGCGUGGAGGAUGAAGGCCUUCGGGUUGUAAACUCCUUUUCUGGGGGAAGAGAAAGGACGGUACCCUCAGGAAUAAGUACU
rnacentral:rRNA from 1 species